rnacentral:lncRNA from 1 species
CAUAUCAAAGUUAGGUAUAUUGUUCUUCCUUGUUAAAUAUUGUCCUUAUGAUUUAUUCUCCCACCGAUCUUAGGCUGAAUAACAUUGGACACAAUGUUAUUUAAGUCUGGGGGAGGUUAUAUUAAUAUUAGGUUUUAGUUAGAUGUUUAGAAUGGAGACUCAAGUAAACGAUUGCCAUGAUAUUGACCGACGAGAACAAAUCGAUAUCGAUCGACAUUGCUACAUCUUCCACGACCGAUGACAACACGUUUACAUCGAUCGACAUCCAUUCCGGUCAGGUAUAACAUUCUAAAUUGUUAAAUUGAGUACUUAUGAUUUAUUUACACCAUAACUCCGACUGGAUAUACACUGGUCACAGCGUUAUCUAAGUCUGGGGGAGGUUCUACUGAUAUUGUGUUUUAGUUAUGAAAAAAAAAAAAAAACAGAUCCAUUGCUCAGAUCAUCGACCGAUGAGACCAUCUCGAUAUCGAUCGACAACACUUCAUCAACAACGAUCGAUUGUCACUUCAUUAUAUCGAUCGAUACUGAGCAGGUUAUCGUUCUUACUUGUUAAAUUGUGUACUUCUGCUUUAUCAUUUUCACUUUACCACCGACUGUGUUACACUGGGGACAGUGUAAUUUAAGUCUGGGGGGAUUACUAACGUUUAUCUACCUUUAUGAGUCUUAUUUAAAAUAUUUUCAAAAUCUGUUUUUAUUGAGUCAAGAAGGGGAUAAUGAACUUAUUAGAUUCAUGCUUGUUAUCUAACCACUCUCUAGCACCAUUCUAGACUUACUGAUUGCAGAUAGUACUAAAGAUACUAAAGUGGAUCAACCUGUCAACUAUGUUCACACUUGCUGAGAUUGUUUGAAGGAACCGAAGCUGACCUCCAACCUAAUUUGACUUAACUGCUUGUCUUGGGGCUUGGUAUACACUGGAUCGGAUUCCUCCUUCAGGUCUGAAGUGUAAAAGUCUGAGUGAUUUUGGUUUCCUUCUCUCCUCCCUUUGGCAUCCUAAUAAAAUAAAAUAAAAGAUUGAGAUGAUUUCUUGCGGUUUAGAGGGGUAGGAGCGUCUCCUGUGACCCCAUUAUUCUACUCUAAUAGAAUGAUCACACAUUGUUGGAAGCGAGGGGUAGGUACAUUACCGAUGACCCCACUAUUCGCCUACACUUUGUCAAGAAAAGAAAAAAAAUAUAUAUAUAUAAUUUAAAAAAAGAAAAAUCGAAAAGAAGGUGAAUAAGAUGGACUGCAUCAGCAUCUUUGUUCAUUGGUAUUGAGAUAAAAAGGAUUCAGAGAAGGGAGAUAUAGAGUAAAAGAAACCAGAACAAGACUACAUGUUUACUCAGAUACCUGUUGGGGUAAGAGUCCAUGUGUCUUGCGAUCGAUACUCC